rnacentral:rRNA from 1 species
CGGCCUCAGUGUUAUAUGAUUACCCGCUGAACUUAAGCAUAU